GCCUCAGCAACAACUUUAACGGCAAUGCAGCGGAUGAGCGGCAGCUGCCGAGGCCCGGACCCUGCGGUGCCACGACCCUCCCAGGGUUCUGGCUGUCGAGGGGCCACCGAGCACACGGGUGUAGACACAGCAUGGCACAGCGCGUGUGGCCUCCUGCGUGAGCCCAGCGGCCCUUGGGGUCCUGCCACACAAGCCCGCCGCCGGAGCCCUUCUUCCAGUCCUGCGUGGCCGACGUGGGCCGUGUCCGCGGGAACCGCAAAGGGCUCCGCGCCUGCCUGCAAGCCUAUGUGGCCCCCUGCCAGACUGCUGGUGUCGACGUGCGGGCCUGGAGGGAGCCCAACUUUUGGCCCCCUACAGACCAUCCUCCAUUAAGAAUUGCUCCUCCUCCUGUACCUGCCAGCUGGGGGAGGAGGUGACCUGUGUCCCCUUCAGCUGCCCUGUGGAGGAGGUCUCUAACAUCACAGAUGGAGUCCUAGGCUGUCGAUUGCAAGGUGACCAAGGCUGCGGUCUGAUGGGUCAGAGAUUGAGGUUUGAAAGAUGGUGCCAGUAUAUAACAAGGUGGAAGCGUUGCCUGGAACACAGUGAUGGCUCCCUCAAGGGUCCCUGUUCGUGUUUGUAUGAUCACCUCCUACACAGGAUUGGAUAAAAUCAGUCAUUUAGGAUUCCUUCAAUAAAUAGCUGUGGAGAAUCUCUGGAGGAUUCAACGGUGGAUGGUGAGUGCUGCCAGCUGCCCUGGGUCCUGCCGGGGCCAGGGCCUGGGCCACCCUGGAGGGCCGCCAUGUGGUGGUGCACACAGCCUGUGGGCUGCAUCUCAUGUAAGACUGGGGCAACUGGGUGUGCCUAACUGUGUCUUCCAUGUUCCACGGCUGGCUAGCAUGGCUCGGUGGUGGCAAUGUUGGCCCCCUCUACCUGCCCCUGGACACCAGAUCCUGGCCCACAGGCCUGGUUGCUACCCUCGUCCACCAUCCAGGCCCAGCCUCGGCUUUAGCAUUAGCUGCCCCAUGCGCUUGCCCAGAUUUUCAAUGCUCCCAAACUGCAUGGACUCCUACAGGCACCAGAUGGUCCCUUUGGCUGCUGCCCAGGCCAUAUCAGCCCCAAGGCCUUCCUCGGGAUACGCCUGCAGGACAUAUGUCGCACCCAUGGCCAGCAUCUUGGCCUCUGUGAUGCCCUCACAGCCUGUACUGCAGCCUGCCGGGAGGCGGGAUGCCCAUGACACCCUGGAGGGGCCACAAGCUCUGGGGCAAGUUGUGGACUGGCAGGAAGCCACCCCUCUCCUGAUGGGGAUCAGAGAAGUCCUGACAUCAAUGGAAUUAGCUGAAGAGAGUGUGUGGGAAGGGCAUCCAAAGGAAAGGGAGCUGUAAUUGCAAAGGGGUAGAGGUUGGAAAAUAUCGAUGGGAAGCUAGCCUGCUGGGGCAGGGGUAAUAGGAUUGCAAAGGGAAACUUCAGUCAUAAGCACUUGCCUUAGACAUCCGCCUGCAGCCCUGACUUGUCCACCCUAAAGCCACUAUGGCAUCUGUGCACGGCCCUGUGAGGGGGCUGUGUCCCGCCUGCCAGCCCUGCUCGCUGGUCCACUUGAUGCUAUGAGGGCUGUGAGUAUGACCCUGGCCUCAUCUUUGGUGGCACAGAGUGUGUGUCCCAGGACCACUGCGACUGCUUCCACCAUGGACACUCCAUCCCUGUAAGAGAGGUCUCCAGGCCCAGGCUUGUGGGCGCGGAGUCUCCCAUACCUCGUCCUAAGAUGUUCCCUGAGCCAGGCCAUAUCAGUCAGCAUUUUCAGUUGUAUCUGCCAGAAAAUAAUGCCAACUAUCUUAAAUACAACAGGGAAUAGAUCGACUUUUAUUUGUGUAAAGUUGAGGCUCAGGCAUGGCUGGAUUCAGGGACUCAGAGGAUGUCACCAGGACUCAAGCCUCUAUCUUUCAUCCCUGCCUUUUCCUUUUUCUGUGUUGGCUUCUAUAUUAAGUAGGCUCUAGGUCCACCUGCUAUGAGAGGCUCAAAAUUACAGUGGCUUAGACUUGAUAGAAGCUUAUUUCUUUCUCAUGAACAGUUCAGGUAUAACCAGUCUGGUUCUUCCAAGUCAGGGACACAGGCUUCUUCUGUCAUGUGGCUCUGCCUCCCCUGUGGUAUUGCCCUCAUCUGCUCCCCACCACAUCUAUAUUCGAGCAGGUUGGAAGGGAAAAAAGAGGGGACAAGGAAGUCAGGCCUCCUCCCUUUAAGGGCACCCCCCCAGAAGUGGCACUUAGCACUUUUGUUCACUUCCCAUUGGCCAGAACUUCAUGGAAGGACCGCAUCUGGCUGCAAAACGGGCUGGAAAGCAUAUCUUUAGCUGGGUGGCCAUGUGUGCAGCUAAAAAUUGUAAUUCUAGGGAAGAAAUGGAGGAUGGAUAUUUGAAGACAAGCAUAGCCUCAUUCUCAAAGCACUUCUCUGUUUGGGGGGCAGUGGUGGUCGCAGCUGCUUCAGCUUUACAACGCACAGUUUAGCAACCUCAGUGGGAACACAGCACUUCUCUCUCAACAGCUCCAGCGGAAGUCUAAGGGCCGACUCCUACUGUCCAGUGUAGGUUAUCUGUCCAUCCCUAAACCCAACACAGAGGCCAAAGUAGGGGGUACUCUGAUUGGCCAGGCCUGGGGCACGUGCCCAGAGAUGGAGCCAGAGAGUAGAUAAAUCACCUAGGCAACCCCAUAGACUGAGAGUGGGGCUAGUUCCCCAAAGAACCUCGGAGGCUGUUAGCAUGGAUGGACCCUGGGCGGGCAGUGUUCCCUUCAAGGUUUUGCAGCUCCUUGAGUCCAUUAGGAGGUAAAGAAAACCCCCUUAGGAUGGUUGACAUAGUUGUCUUAGAGAUUAGGGGCCACUGGAAAGGAAAAAGCAUGGGUCUUUAAACCUCAGUGACUCUGGGGAUGAAGAGAUGCCCACACUGGGAGGAACAAGGCAUAAGAGCAGAUAUACUGUCACUGCGUGUCCACUGCAUGCCAGUGCUGACAACGCUAGCCGCAGGUCAGAAUCUUCGGAGAGCUUGUAGGGCUUUUCACACACAAGUGAAAAGCAGAGGGAUCGUCAUUGAUGAAAAGAGACUAAAAUACCACAACCGUCCAAUGCAGUGCACAAAGCUAGAUCAGGUCCUGGUUUGCAAAGAACAGUUACAGAAGAUGUUUGGGGAGCAACUGGAGAAAUGCAUCACAUUUUUAAGGAUUUGCCCUCCUCAUAUGGAAACGAUGUUUCAAUGGAUUUUUAAUUUGCAUUUGUCUUAUUAGGAGGUUGAGCAUCUUUUCAAAUGCUUAAGAAACAUUUGUAUUUCCUAUACUAUUAAUUUUCUGAAUACCUUUUGCUCUUUUUUUUAUAUUGCGUUGUUGGUUUUUUUCGUUCUGAUUUCUAGGAGCUCUUGAUAUGUUAGGGAAAUUAGUGCUUUGCGAUAUGUGUUAGACAUAUGCUUCCUUUUUUGUUGAUGUUCAGGAUGGUCUUUUGGGUCCGAUUUUGAGUCUAUCUGUCUCUGCAGGUUGGGGAGGUACUGGUCCUGCCUGGCUGCCAGGAAUGCUGGAUGUGCUUGUGUGGCCAAGGCCUCCAGUGCCAGCCCUUUUCCUGCCCACAGAGCACAGGCUGCAUCCUGGAUGGGGGUGUGCAGUGCUGUGAGGCUGGGGAGGGUGCCGCAUGUCACCUGGUGCCCGGGGGUCUCUUCAUCACCUUGGAUAGCUUUAGUGGGCUUGCACCCAGGCCUGUUAUGCCCUGUGCCUUUGAGCUAGCCACACUGGUGGGUUCCAGGCCCCAAGAUCCUGACUGGUUCCAUGUCCUUGCUGACUUCCCAUCCUGUCCUGGCUGCACUGCGGGAGGCCAUCGGCUUCAGGGAUGGCUAUGCGGCUGUGGGACCCAAUCAGGAAAUAUGGGUAAGGGACUUCUUCAAUGCCAGCCAAGACCCUUGUGUGACGUAGCACUGAUCCCUGGGGCCUACUGACCCCUCACUGACCUUCAGUAGCCUUUAACAUAGAAGUGGUUUCCCAUGACCCUCUAAUCUCACAUUGGCCUCCAUUGGCUAAAUGUCCUUGCCCUGAUCUCCCAGGACCCUCUAGACCCUACAUAAACUUCUCAGGACCCCCUGAGUCCACCUUGCUCCAAGACCUACUGGACUCCUGGGAACUACUGACUGAGUGGUCAGAGCUGUAACAGGGAAGCAGAGGCCAGAGCGAUCAGGGCUGGGAUAGGGAAGCACAGGCAGGCUGUGGGAGCCCAGAGGUGCCCCCAGUUUAGGGGGUCUGUGAAGAUUUUCUGAAGGAGGUAACCAAUGAGCUGAGACUUGCAGUUAGGCUGGGGAACAGAGCAGGGAGGAACGUUGCAGAACAAGGCCAUGACAAAGGAGGGACUGUAUUGGGGACUGUGGUGAAAAUCAGCUAGUGAGUCUAAGACAGCCCACCAAAUGCGGUGGACUUAGGACCAAGGAGGCUAUGAGUGACUUAGGAAAUCACAGUAGGGGGCAGCUCCUGGACUACAGGGUUGAGGAAUGAGGCUUACGGGGAGACAGCAGGCAUAGACGCUUCUCUUGACAAGUUGUCCUUGAAGACAGAGGAGACUAGAGAUGAGCCAGGAAGAGGCAGAGGGCCAGGCUAUCUUAGAACUGAUUUAUUAUGAUGCUGCUUUGCAGAUGGGAGAAACUCAGGGAUGUUUGCUGAUAGGAAGAAACUAGACAAGGAGAAGUUGGGAAUCCAGCAGAGGGAGGCCGGGGUGGAGGACACCUGGCUCCCCAAGGAACCCGGAAGCAGGAGGGCAGCAGGAGAACAGGAAUCUGGGCAGGCACAAUGGAUAGUGUUUCUAAGCAAGGGGAAAGCAUGCCUGAAAUCCCAUGCUGAGACUCAGAACACAGCUGUGAGGUGGAGCAAUUGGAGGAGCCAGAGGAUGGGCCAGCAAGAGCACCUGGGGCAUCUGCCACAAUCUGGCAGGGAGGCUGAGCCAGAGCUUUGCUUGUAGGGCCAAGAGCCCCGGACUGUGUCUCUUAAACUUCUAGUGUAACUUUGGGCACAUGACUCAGCCCCUCUCUAUGCUUCAGUUUGCCCAUCCACAAAAAGCAGUCAUAAGAAUAGUACCUCCUUCAUAGGGCAGCUGUGAGCAUACAUGUGAAGUGCUGGUGUACACUAAGUGCUCUGUAAGUAUGAGCUGUGAUUGCUCUCGCAGCCUCUUUUAUAUUAUUAUUGGAGAGACAAGGUAUAGAGCAGAGUGGUUAAGAACACAGGUCACGAAUCCAGUACCCCCUCCUCCCCAGGAUCCAAACCUGGCUCUGCCACUCACCAGCUCCAUGAACCUGGGCAAGCUCUGUGACUUCUCUAGGUCUCUUUCCUUUUUUUUCUUUUUUUUUUUUUUUUUUAAGAUUUUAUGUUUCCUUUUUCUCCGCAAAUCCCCCCGGUACAUAGUUGUAUAUUUUUAGUUGUGAGUCCCUCUAGUUGUGGCAUGUGGGACGCCACCUCAGCAUGGCUCAGUGAGCGGUGCCAUAUUGGCGCGCAGGAUCCCAACAGUGAAACCCUGGGCCGCAGAAGCAGAGCGGGAACUUAACCACUCGGCCAUGGGGCCAGCCCUACUGGGUCUCUUUCCUAAUCGGUAAGAGGCAAGAGGCAUAUAGGCUGCAGAUCCACCUUGUCAGUGUGUUGGUGGGAUUUAAUAUCAUUGUAAAUAUUUAAUAAGCUAUUUUAACAUUCACUAUUUUAAAAUAAAUGUAUUACACAAAAUAAUAUAAAUUUGGUGACAGUAUAUUAAAAUAUCAAUUGCAUCGUAUUAUUUUGCAUAUUUUAUUGAUGUACUGUGUCAUACAUUAUCUUAUGAAUUGAAUAGUAAAAUAUUAAAGCAGUUGGAAUAGCGCCUGGCACAGAGAAUGUUAGAUUUUGAAGACAAGAGGUGAGAGACCUGACAAGUUCCAGAGGCUGUUUUUUCCCCUCUAAAGCUCCCUUUUAGGAAAGUGUUUAUUAUGGAAAUUUUCAAGCAUCACAGAAGAGAGAAUAGUGUUAUGAAACCCCAUUACAGUUACACAGUGGUUUCUUUUUUUUUUUUUUAAUUUUUUUUAAAUUUUUUGAGGAAGAUUAGCCCUGAGCUAACUACUGCCAGUCUUCUUCUUU